rnacentral:lncRNA from 1 species
ACAUGCUAAGUUCAUAGUAAUUGUUGAAGAGCCGUUGAGUUUUCAUUCGAUUAUGUUUGUUUUGGAUCUCUGAUCAAUCGAGCACCAUGUCAUGUAUUCAUAAAAUUUCAUAAUGAAAUUGGAGGCACAAAUACUCAUUUCUAAAUAUUUAUAAACACUAAAAAAACGGAAACCUGCAUGUAUAGAGGAUCUAUUAACAUUACUAAAGAUCUUGUGGUCCAAAUACAGAAGCAAGCUAGUAACAAUUACUUUAGAUAAAAUAUCAGAGUUGAAAGUGUAGUUCGAAAAAGUGAUUUACGUUUAUCAGUAAAACAUAAAGCAUUUAGGAUUGUUGCGUAUAGCAUAUAUAAAAACCUCAAUUUGAAAUUGAAUGCUUCAAUUUAACAGGAAAAUAAGACGAUGAGGGACGAUUCCACUUUUGUAGCAGAUCAGAAACACCAACAUCAACUGAAUAGAUGACUAACUCUCUUUUAUCUUGAACUCUAUUUCUGAUGUAAUCAAAUCUAACAUAUUCAUCACAUAACAACAUCCGUACUUUCUGGUCUCUCCUAUUCACAUCUACACAACAAUGAGCAAAUUUAUUAAUGCAAUAGCCACAUCUUCUUUAGAUUUUUUUUCGGAUCGUCAUUUAACCUUUGUUAUUUCACAAUCAUCGAGUUGCUUCAUGCACUUCUUGUAGUCAGUAUACAAACCGUGGGCGUUUACAUGUCCUCCUAGUGAUUGAGAGAUACAAUCUUAGUAAGAGAUUGAGAAAACAUGACAAACAUAUAUUCUUUAUGUGUGCGAUAUAGAACAAAUCAAUCAAGAAUCGGUGUGUUUUGUAGGGUACUUGUAGUGAACAUGUGUUCGAAAGAAAACGUUGUCAGGGUGUUUUUGUGCUUGUCGGAUUUAGAACAAAAAGGCACUCAAUGCAAAGUGAAACCAGGCCCAAAAUUGAUCGAGGAUAGGAUCCAAGAACGACUUUGUUGUGAUGCGCUUGAUAAUAACAGCAGCGACUUGCUUGACUAUAACAACAUCAAUUUUACUUUCACGAAACAACAACAAGGCUUGCAAAUGGAUGUAGUGGGGGAGCCAAGAGCUUGUGAGUUUAGUGAGAGAGUGACAAGACCCACCUCGAAUUUCAUCCUGAAACCCAAAGUAAAUCUUGCGGGGUCCACCUUUAAUGAAAAUUUACCGAAAAUUCGGCAUAAUCCACCUUGAAAAUGGACAACCCUUACCUGAAAAAAAAUUCCAGAUAAACACUUCUAUUAUAAAUCAUCCAUCCUCAACUCCUGGAGUCUUCCUGCUCCCCAAGUUCAUCACAACAUCUCCCAAAAUAUCAAAUACUACUCUAAAGAAUCCCACCACCAACAAAACCAAUUUAAUAAUUUACUAUUAGAUUUUCAGAGCAUAUCUAAUAAUGAACGAAAAACAAUGAAUAAAGAAUAAACGGAAGCAGCCUCUGACUAUGCCUCGACCCUAUGUACGCUCGGCCUCAAAUACCUAGCCUGCAAACUGGGCAUUUAAAACCAAAGGGCCCAGGGGAAAGUAAUUUAAAAACGUUAAAGUGAGUGGACGAAAAUAAACAAAUAAAAAGACAUAGGAUAACAAAAACCAAAACUUAAAUACUUUCUCACUUUCCAAUAAGCAAUAAAUCUGUUGCAUGCAAGUGUUGAUAACGCCUUCAAAAGAAAAUCCCGAGAAUACAGACUAGUCUCACUAGUCAAAAUAUCGACAAAGAUAAUUAAUAACCUUCAUAGAAGAAGGUACCAAAAUAAUAGACUAGCCCCGCUAGUCAAAACAACAAGAAGGAUUCAUUAAGACUUUCAUAAAAAUGAAUAUCAAAAAGAUGGACUAGCCCCGCUAGUCAAAACAACAACAAUAAAUAAAGAGCAUAUAUAUAUAUAUAUAUAUAUAGCCAUACAAGUGAGCCUCCCAGGCAAAAGUACUCCCAUACUCCCUACACCUUCACGUUGUGAUAACAGAGAGGGUGCAUGGCUUGCGUGAUGUCGUUGAUUACAUCACAUCACCCGAAGGCGGAAAGGGCUUGAGUAACCCCACUUAAAACGUGGAAGCCACAUCGCCUCGAAAGGCGGAACAACAUGCUAGUAUGAAUAUCAUAAAUAAUCCAACAAGUAUGGCAUAAGAAGGGAAAAUAUAAUUUCAUAUGAGUUUUCCCAAAACUCAUAAAUCGAGCAUAAGUACGAUUCCCAACCGUACUCGGAAAAUUCCAAAGCAAGGAAAUUAAUUAAAUUCAAUAACGUGUGGGAAUGCUCAAUGAAAUAAAUAACUCAAAUCAUUAACAUGUUUCAAAAAUUAGACAAUACUCAAAUCCUUAAAGAAAUCUCAAAUCCAGAGAUCAAAAGAAUAUCAUAAUUUAAAUACCAAAACAAUUACCCAACUCAAAAUUCAUAAUUCAUUAACAAUCUCAAAUAAUUUUCAAUGCAAGCCAUAAGCCGAAAUUAUAAUAUAUGAGCUCGAUAAAAAAAAAUAACGAUAACUUAUAAAUUAAGUCAUGCAUGCAUAUUUAAUAAAAACCAAAAUCUCCACUCACAGAUUUAGGCCUAAGCCUGACGAAAUCUGAAUCGCCACUCAUGCGAGGUCUCCUCGUAUCCUGGCACAAUAUUCAUGCUUAGAACCAACUUCAAUUUCAGAAAAUAAAUAAUUAACUAAAAACACCCAAAACUCUUCCGCUUAACCCAUUACUCUUACUUGGGUUAAGUUUACCGGAUUCACACCAAACUCCACCAUAACCUUAAAUCAUCGAUUCUAACAUUUUAAAAUAGAUACCAAGGAAAUCCAACGGACCAAUUUUCAUAUUAAUCACCGCCAAAAUCCUUAAUCAUUGGAAAAUCCCAAACCUUAUCAAAACUCCUCCAAAAAUUCCAAACUUUACUUCAUUAAACCCCUCUCAUUAAAACCAUCUCAAAAACAUGAAAAACUGCCCUUACGGGGCUGCGGCCGGUAGCCGUACUCCGGCGACCUCCAAUGCUUCCCAAAUUUUAACACAACAAUCCUCUCAAUAUGCAUAACAACUUCUGUAACUAGCACUUAGUCUAAUUCUAAGCCUAACUAGGGUAAUCGAAUCAAAACCUUAAAUUGAACCCUAGAACUUCAAUUAUACAUUUCUCCCUACCAAGAUCGAAUUUAGCCAAUUCCUUUUAAGGGAUUACUCACCUUGAUGAGGGCUACAAGAUGAGCCAAAAAUCCCGAGCUAUGGUGGCCGGAGGAGGGAACUCCGGCAAGAAGACAGUCGACGUCUCCGGCGGAAUUCCUCUCAAACGACGACGUUAUGGCGGCUCUCACCAGUCCAGGGAGGGAGCUGGGUGGACAGCCGACAGUUUGAGACCGGUACGGCGGUCUAUGGUGGCCGGACGGUGACGGAUAGUGGCUGGGUCUCUGACGGGUCGGGAGGAGCUCACGGGAGAGAGAGAAGAAAGAGUGUGGGUGGGUGUUGGGCUCCUCCACACCUACCCGGUCCAACUUAAACACCCACCAAAAAUAAAACCCACUAAAUUUUUACCUCCAUUUUACCAACUCAAAAUUUACCCUUUUAUUUGAUAACUUUUUCACGCUAACUCCAAUUUUAACGCAUAGCAUGUCUACGAAUUCGUAUUAACGUCCUCUACGACUUUCAUGAAGAAAGUUUUCCCAAAUUCCAAACGGAAGAAAAAGUCAACUUUUGGAGUCUUAAAUAGUAAACGGUUACUUAAAACGGUAAAAGUUCAAAGUAACCUACAAGUAAAUAACCGCAAAUUGACUUAAGAACCGGGAUGUGACAGAGAGCCUAACUUUGUGUUAUGGAGGGUUAUGGAAUAGGGAUUGGCUUGGAAUAAGGGGACAGGGAUUUUAGAGAUGAAGCAUGAUCUCUUGCUUGAGGUUAGUGGUUGUUGAUGGUUGACUCCAACAGCAAGGAGUUGCCCUUUUUAUAGCAAAGGUAAAGGAGGAGGGUUACUGCUAGAACCAGAGGAUUUGAGAGAAGCCUCUCAAUUUUGGACAAGUGGUUUCCAAGCUUUGGCGCAUGGUUUCUCUCAUGGAAACAAAUUGGUGAAGGGGCUAUGGAUUCCUGUCUCACCUUAGAAACUGAAGGGCGGCGAUGACAGGUAUAUGGGUGGUGGCUUGUUGCUGUGAUAUUGGUAAGAUCAUGUAAUACCCCGGAAUUUUAAUAUUAGUUUCUAAUAUUAUUUUGGAAAUUAUUUAAGUAAGAGUUGUAUGGAUUUGUGGUUUAGUGAGUGGACUGGAAGUAGUUGAGUUUUUAGUUCCGUAAAAAUGCUCUAUUUUGAAGGGUUAAGAGUUGACUUUUUAAUCGGUUGGGUUUCUCGGGAAACUUCCUUCACGAUAGUUGUAUAGCACGACGAUACGAGUUCGUAGACACGUGGCACACGUAAAACGGACUUCGUAUGCGAAAGUUAUGGUCAGCAGAAGUUCGUGGUUUUCGGGAAUUUUAAGUAUAACUAAGAAAAGUGUUAGGUUUCUUUUCAUUUUUUCCGGAACCAUUUCUUCCCUCUUCUCUUUCUCUCCCGCGCCUCACCUUGGGUAUCUGAGUUUUCCAGCCGACCCGACCCGGACCCGGCAACCCAACCCGACUUUUUCGGCCAACUCCGGCCGACCCAGACGAUGGCACCGGUCGGGUUCUCUUCCUCUCCUCCGUCCGAGCUGUCACAUCCCGACCCUUAUAUUUUUACUUUAUUUACUAGCGUGAUUAUAAUAAGAAUUUUACCGUCUCGAUCAUUGAGUAAAUAGUUUAAUUGGUCCCUAGAGGGGUUUCGGGGACGAUUAUGUGCGGAGGAUUAUUCGUAUGAGGAAAAUACGACUACGGUAAAAAUGGUAAAUUUUAGCUAGUAAAAGGUAAUUUUUAUUCGGGUAUUAUUUUUCGGGGUGUUUUUAUUUUGGAAGUUUGGGUUUAAAAGGGGUGUUGGGUCGGCUGGGCCGAGCCCAACCCAUUUCUUCUUCCUUUCUCUCUCUCUCCCUCCCGAUUUUUCUUCUCUUCCCACCCGUAGUUUUUUCUCUCUACACCCAGCAGACUUCCGGCCGUCCUCCCGCCGCCGUCCGACCUCCGUUCGCCGCCGGACCGGUCCCGUUCGGUCGGUCUCCCUCCCAGCUUCCAUUCUAGACCGGUGAGAGGAGCCCUAGCGCCGCCGUGAGUGAGCGGUGCCGCCCGAAAGCUUCGACUGCCGAAUUGGUUUUCUCGCCGGAACUUCCUCCUCCGGCCACCAAUCCGGGCAAGCUUGGUAUGGUUUUGUAGCCCUCCAACCCAGCAACCUUGUCCUAAAAGGACUCACUCCCUCUUGAGCUAGGUAAGGAGAAAUUUGAGGUGGAAGUUUUAUGGUGUUUUUGAUGUUUUUAGUCGAUUGCCCUAGUUAGGCUUGGAAUUGGUGUUGUGCUAGUUAUGAAAGUUGUAGAGCUUGAUGAGAGGAAGGUGCUGUUAAAAUUUCAUAGGUUUUGGAGGUCGCCGGAAUUGACCUCCGGCCGCCGCUGCCGGCGGAGCCGCCGGCGGC